UGGAACGACGCGUCAGCGGCCGGGGUAAGACGGCGGGCGCACGCGUUGGCCCGCAUCAUUGGGCGUAAAGCGCGUGUAGGCGGCCAGAAAAGUCCGCGUUGAAAACUCGAGGCUCAACUUCGAGCUGUCGGUGGAAACUUUCUGGCUAGAGUCCGGAAGAGGAGAAUGGAAUUCCUGGUGUAGUGGUGAAAUGCGCAGAUAUCAGGAAGAACACCCGUGGCGAAGGCGGUUCUCUGGGACGGUACUGACGCUGAGACGCGAAAGCGUGGGGAGCGAACAGGAUUAGAUACCCCAGUAGUC
rnacentral:rRNA from 2 species